CUAAACUGAGGAAUGUCGGCCGAAACUGAUCGACUCGAGGAACGUAGAGGGAAGCGGAACUCUCGGAGUAGCGGUGAAAUGCGUAGAGACCGAGAGGUACCCCGAUGGUGAAGACAGCUUCCUGGGCGUUUCCUGACGCUGAAGCGCUAAGGCCAGGGGAGCGAAGGGGAUUAGAUACCCCCGUAGUCCUGGCUUCAAACGAUGUGGGCUUGGUGUCGGCCCCCGACAGAGGGUCGUUGCCGGAGCUAACGUGUUAAGCCCACCGCCUGGGGAUUACGUCCGCAAGGAUGAAACUCAAGGGAAUUGACGGGGGCCCACACAACCGGUGGAGCACGUGGUUUAAUUCGAUGAUAAGCGAAGAACCUUACCAGGGCUUGACCUAGCGGCAGUAGGACCCCGAAAGGGGAACGACCUCAAGCUUUGCUUGAGGAGCC
rnacentral:rRNA from 1 species